UUUCUCUUCUCUCUUCUGGUUUCACAUUGAUGUCUAUUUUCUCUUUCUCUUUGGUUUUUUGGUUUAUGAACUAUUAUCAUGUGUUGUUUCAGAUCUUGCAGCAACAUUGCUUGAAUGCAAAGAAAAUAUGCAAUAAAAGGUGCAGAUGAAGUAAUCGAUGAACAACGACCCUUCAACUUUUUGUAUUUUCUACCACCUAUGUUGUUCAAAUUACUCUAAAUGUUGAAGGAUGCAAAUGUUAGAGCUCGAAUCUGUAACACAUGUUUCAGAUCUACAAGGUUAGAGUUUGAAUCUUCCGUGCAUGUUUCAGAUCUACAAGGUUAGAGUUUCAAUCCUUCGUGCGUGUUUUAGUUCUACGAGUUUAGAUCUCUAAUCCGCCGUGCAUGUUACAGAUCUAUAAGAUUAUAUUUUAAUUAACUUUUUUUAUUCAAGAUUUUAUUUAUUUUUCUUAUUGUUUCUUUCAGGUUCUCUAAUCUUUCACAUCUCCAUGCUCUAAAUGGAAGGUUGAAUUUGUAAUGUAUCAUUCUGAAGUACCAAUUGGCGUCACUACAUAGUAUAUGACAGUAGAAAACAUCGUCUAUACGAUUCGUUUGAAAUAAAUAUUCUUUUUUGACUAUCCCGAAAGUUUGAGCUGUAGAAGUAGAAAUCAAGUUGGCUGGUGUCAAUAUACAAUGGAGAAUCUGCUUGAAAUUACUAGGUUAUGCUUGCGCAAGUUUUGUCAAAAAUGUAGAUAUUAUACUAUGUAAAUAACAUGAUAUUUUAUAUUAAUUCAUAGAAUGAACUUUAAUUUUUUA